UACGUAGGGUCCGAGCGUUGUCCGGAGUUACUGGGCGUAAAGCGCGCGCAGGUGGUUCACUAAGCCCGGCGUGAAAGCCCCCGGCUCAACCGGGGAGGGUCGUCGGGGACUGGUGAACUUGAGGGCGGCAGGGGCUGGUGGAAUCCCCGGUGUAGUGGUGAAAUGCGUAGAGAUCGGGGGGAACACCCGUGGCGAAGGCGGCCAGCUGGGCCGUCCCUGACACUGAGGCGCGAAGGCGUGGGGAGCGAACAGG
rnacentral:rRNA from 1 species